AUUUAAGACACUCUGCAAAGGUCAAGUCCGCUUUCCUUGCACUUUUUGUGAAAGAAGAGCCUAGGCAUCUUGCCUUGGAAAAGUAGCAAAACAAGACAAAAGAGAGGCUUAAGCAUUUAUCUAUUGGAAUUCUUUUGCGCCCUAGACAACAUCCUCAUAUUGAUGUCCUUGUUACACUAUUAAACUUCACUGUCCGUAGAAUUUUUUUCAGCGUUUUGGAUUCUGGGACCCUGAGAUAUGAUAAAGUAGAAUAUUUGAAAUCUGGAGAAAGAACAAGAAAAAUAAAGCAGAAAUCUCAACAAGGGAAUGAGUUAGUUAUCAUGAGAGUACGCUGUUAUAAAGUAAGUCUGGCCCCUGGUGCCUUUCUGCCUCAUGCACUUGCUUCCACCUUCUGCCACGGGAUGACCUUUUGCCGGAUGGCGGCCUCUUGUUUUUGGACUUCCCAGCCUUUAAACCGUACUUUGAAGUGCAGCCCGUUCUCACCAUGAUGGUCAUUUUGCUCAAUAGCUCCAACCGUGGGACAGUGUUUCCAAAGCCG
rnacentral:lncRNA from 1 species